GACGAACCGUGCGAACGUUAUUCGGAAUCACUGGGCUUAAAGCGCGUGUAGGCGGGAGGGCACGUCCGACGCUGAAAUCCCCCGGCUCAACCGGGGAACGGGCGGGGAUACGACCUUCCUGGAGGGACGUAGGGGGACCUGGAACUUCCGGUGGAGCGGUGAAAUGCGUUGAGAUCGGAAGGAACGCCCGUGGCGAAAGCGAGGUCCUGGACGUCUGCUGACGCUGAGACGCGAAAGCCAGGGGAGCGAACGGG
rnacentral:rRNA from 1 species